GGUAUACUCCCUCCGUCCCAAAAUUCUUGUCUUAGAUUUGUCUAGAUACGGAUGUAUCUAAUACUAAAACGUGACUUGAUACAUCCGUAUUUAAACAAAUGUAAGACAAGAAUUUUGUGAUGGAGGGAGUACUAC
rnacentral:pre_miRNA from 1 species